UACGUAGGGUGCAAGCGUUGUCCGGAAUUAUUGGGCGUAAAGAGCUCGUAGGCGGUUUGUCGCGUCGAAUGUGAAAACCCGGGGCUCAACCCCGGGCCUGCAUUCGAUACGGGCAGACUAGAGUUCGGUAGGGGAGUCUGGAAUUCCUGGUGUAGCGGUGAAAUGCGCAGAUAUCAGGAGGAACACCGGUGGCGAAGGCGGGACUCUGGGCCGAUACUGACGCUAAGGAGCGAAAGCGUGGGGAGCAAACAGG
rnacentral:rRNA from 1 species